rnacentral:rRNA from 1 species
AUACGAAAGGUGCAAGCGUUGUUCGGAUUUACUGGGCGUAAAGAGAGUGUAGGUGGUUUAUUAAGUCGGAUGUGAAAUCCCGGGGCUCAACCUCGGAACUGCAUUCGAUACUGAUAGGCUAGAGUUUGGGAGGGGUAAGCGGAAUUCCGUGUGUAGCAGUGAAAUGCGUAGAUAUACGGAGGAACACCUGAGGCGAAGGCGGCUUACUGGACCAAUACUGACACUGAGACUAGAAAGCGUGGGUAGCAAACAGGAUUAGAAACCCUAGUAGUCC